rnacentral:misc_RNA from 1 species
GCCAGGCCGUUACCAUUACGUUACGACCAUUAUAUGCCUGUUUUUGUUACUUGCGACCGUGACCACAAUUUGAAACCAUGGUUUGUACUCUAUUUUGUUUUCUUGGAAACAUCUAGAGGGAUAAAAUCAAUUAAAACAAUAGUUGAAAUGUCCUUUACUUCGACAGGAUCUUCAAUUUUCAUUGUUGUCUCCAUAGAAUCUUCUUCAUU